GGGCCACCAUCGAGUUAUAUGGUAAGGAGAGAUUUCGACUGUUCGAUCCCAUGUUCAGAAUGCUGAUGACCGUCUGAUAGCACAUGGAAGCCCACCUCACCCAUACACCAUGAUGUGGAUCGAAAAAAAAUCUGUGGACCGCGCCUUCGCACCUGUGGACUGAGUGAUCGGUCCAUGGUGCACCAACUGAUUAAAUAGGCUUGGGUUCGAGCCAAUUUGACUCAAUUUUGGGCUAAUUUUGAGCCCAAUUUGGUUUGGAAUUGAGCUUGCCUUUGAGUCUCUAAUUCGGA
rnacentral:lncRNA from 1 species